UACGGAGGGUGCGAGCGUUGUCCGGAAUCACUGGGCGUAAAGGGCGCGUAGGCGGCAGGCCAAGCGUGCGGUGAAAGUCCGGGGCUCAACCCCGGAUCUGCCGUGCGGACUGGUUUGCUAGAGCACUGUAGAGGCGAGUGGAAUUCCGGGUGUAGCGGUGGAAUGCGUAGAGAUCCGGAAGAACACCGGUGGCGAAGGCGGCUCGCUGGGCAGUGGCUGACGCUGGAGGCGCGACAGCGGUGGGGAGCAAACGAGG
rnacentral:rRNA from 1 species